GCAAGACCUCGCGCGAUUGGAGCGGCCGAUAUCAGAUUAGGUAGUUGGUGAGGUAAAGGCUCACCAAGCCGACGAUCUGUAGCUGGUCUGAGAGGACGACCAGCCACACUGGGACUGAGACACGGCCCAGACUCCUACGGGAGGCAGCAGUGGGGAAUUUUGGACAAUGGGCGCAAGCCUGAUCCAGCCAUGCCGCGUGCGGGAAGAAGGCCUUCGGGUUGUAAACCGCUUUUGUCAGGGAAGAAAAGGUUCUGGCUAAUACCUGGGACUCAUGACGGUACUUGAAGAAUAAACACCGGCUAACUACGUGCCAGCAGCCGCGGUAAUACGUAGGGUGCAAGCGUUAAUCGGAAUUACUGGGCGUAAAGCGUGCGCAGGCGGUUAUGCAAGACAGAGGUGAAAUCCCCGGGCUCAACCUGGGAACUGCCUUUGUGACUGCAUGGCUAGAGUACGGUAGAGGGGGAUGGAAUUCCGCGUGUAGCAGUGAAAUGCGUAGAUAUGCGGAGGAACACCGAUGGCGAAGGCAAUCCCCUGGACCUGUACUGACGCUCAUGCACGAAAGCGUGGGGAGCAAACAG
rnacentral:rRNA from 1 species